AUUGAACGCUGGCGGCAGGCCUAACACAUGCAAGUCGAGCGGAGCGGCGGCCGGGUGCGUAAUGCCUAGGAAUCUGCCUGGUAGUGGUGGAUAACGUCAGGAAACGGGCGCUAAUACCGCAUCCUCUCAGAUGAGCCUAGGUCGAAGUAGCUAGUGGGUGGGGUAAAGGCCUACCAAGGCGACGAUGCGUAACUGGUCUGAGAGGAUGAGCAGUAACAAUGGAACUGAGACACGGUCCAGACUCCUAAGGGAGGAAGCAGUGGGGAAUAUUGCAAAAUGGGCGAAAGCCUGAUCCAGCCAUGCCGCGGGUGUGAAGAAGGGCUUCGGAUUGUAAAGCACUUUAAGUGGGGAGGCGUUACUCGCAGAAGAAGCAACGGCUAACUCCGUGCCAGCAGCCGCGGUAAUUC
rnacentral:rRNA from 1 species